rnacentral:lncRNA from 1 species
GCUGUUUUGAGCAUGUGUCCCUGUCCUUGUAAAAUGCAGGACUAUUCUGACCAGUAUUACCUUGCUAGCUUGUUGUCUUCUUUUUAAAACCACUCUAGGGAAACUCAACUUUAUGGCCUGUGUAAAAUCUUAAUGAUACAGAGAAAACGUGUUCAAGUGAUAUGCCUAUAUAAUCUUCAUAUAAUCUAUGUUAUAAAUGUCAAGAAAUCAGGGUUAUCUCAAAUAAUUUAGACUAGGAUCUCUUUGAACUAUGUGGCUUGUUUCAGUGCCAAUAUCCUGCUUUUCCUACAAGCAAGGAAAUCCUGCUGAUGUCAGUACAAUUCCAAGCGCGUAUGCCAGGAUAUCGGAGCAAAGACUUGUCACGCUGACUUGAGCUGGGGAAUGCUACUUACCUUGCAUCUGCAAUUCCAGGACUCUGGAGCUUGCUCUGUUGGCGGCAAGUUAGCAGAAUUCUUUGCAGAGCCAUUAUUUUAGAUGUUGCUGGAAUUCUGUUCAAAUGUUCAAAAAGUAAAAAGACUGCCCUGAAGAUUUUGUUCUUAUUCUAAACUGGGGAAAACUCCCCACUUAGCUAAAGAACUGGACCUGUGGGAAAAAAAGGAGCUCAAUAGCUGAAGGGAUGAGGAAGAGACAGUCUGAUGUUUUUGUGGAAACAUGCCUUUUGGAGAAGCCUCCACAAGUGUUCUAGAGAUUCUUUUCCGAGACCAUUCCUUCAUUCUGGUUCCUGGAGGAGCGACCUGUGAAUUCCUGAUGACAGACAGUUCCCUUAAAAUUCUACAUGAAUUUUUUACAAGGUUUAAAGGAAUGUAGUGAGAGAUGGACAUAAGGAACAAAACAUUGUUUAGAACAGAGCUUUAUUGCCUGGUGAUCAGAAAAAUUACAAUAUUUCAUCAAAGAUUCCCAGCAUAUGGGAACCUACCAAGUUUCAUGCAUUUUUCAAAAAGUUUUGUGGAUGCCAAAAGAAAUGCCUGACUUCAUCCUCCUCGGGGAGGACAGCCCGCUGAGCCCUCGCGCAGGCGGAGGGAGGCUC